rnacentral:misc_RNA from 1 species
AACGCACCUUGCGCCUUGUGGUAUUCCGCAAGGCAUGCCCGUUUGAGUAUCAUUAAAUCAUCAACUUCAAAACCUUUGUGUUGUUGAAGCUUGGUCUUGAGGGUCUUGCAGGCUUUUCACAAGUCAGCUCCCUUUAAAUUCAUUAGCGAGACUUCCCUUUGCUGAACCGUCUCUGACGUGAUAAUUAUCUGCGUCAAGUUGGGUUCUCGUUGGGCUUGCUUCUAAUCGUCCUUGGACAACCGGUUUGAAGUGCAUAUAUGCGCCUCUUUCCAAACCUAUUUUGAUCUCAAAUCGGGUAGGACUACCCGCUGAACUUAA